rnacentral:rRNA from 1 species
CAGCAGCCGCGGGAAUACGUAGGGUGCAAGCGUUAAUCGGAAUUACUGGGCGUAAAGCGUGCGCAGGCGGUUAUAUAAGACAGAUGUGAAAUCCCCGGGCUCAACCUGGGAACUGCAUUUGUGACUGUAUAGCUAGAGUACGGCAGAGGGGGAUGGAAUUCCGCGUGUAGCAGUGAAAUGCGUAGAUAUGCGGAGGAACACCGAUGGCGAAGGCAAUCCCCUGGGCCUGUACUGACGCUCAUGCACGAAAGCGUGGGGAGCAAACAGGAUUAGAGACCCGCGUAGUCCCUGUCUCUUAUAC